rnacentral:rRNA from 1 species
AACGAACGCUGGCGGCAGGCCUAACACAUGCAAGUCGAAGGCAUCGCAAGAUGAGUGGCGCACGGGUGAGUAACACGUGGGAAUGUAUCCUUUGGUUCGGAAUAACGUCUGGAAACGGAAGCCAAUAACGGAUGAGCCCUAUGGGGGAAAGAUUUAUCGCCGAAGGAGCAGCCCGCGUCUGAUUAGGUAGUUGGUGGGGUAAAGGCCUACCAAGCCGACGAUCAGUAGCUGGUCUGAGAGGAUGAUCAGCCACACUGGGACUGAGACACGGCCCAGACUCCUGCGGGAGGCAUCAGUGGUUAAUAUUGGACAAUGGGCGCAAGCCUGAUCCAGCCAUGCCGCGUGAGUGAUGAAGGCCUUCGGGUUGUAAAGCUCUUUCGCACACGACGAUGAUGACGGUAGUGUGAGAAGAAACCCCGGCUAACUUCGUGCCAGCCGCCGCGGUAAAAC